rnacentral:rRNA from 1 species
UACGUAGGGGGCUAGCGUUGUCCGGAAUCAUUGGGCGUAAAGCGCGCGUAGGCGGCCCGGUAAGUCCGUUGUGAAAGUCAAAGGCUCAACCUUUGAAAGCCGAUGGAUACUGCCGGGCUGGAGUCCGGAAGAGGCGAGUGGAAUUCCUGGUGUAGCGGUGGAAUGCGCAGAUAUCAGGAGGAACACCAAUAGCGAAGGCAGCUCGCUGGGACGGUACUGACGCUAAGGCGCGAAAGCGUGGGGAGCGAACAGG